rnacentral:rRNA from 1 species
AGUGAACGCUGGCGGCGUGCCUAACACAUGCAAGUCGUGCGCGAAAGGGAGCAAUCCUGAGUAAAGCGGCGAACGGGUGAGUAACACGUGGUUAACCUGCCUGGAUGUGGGGGAUACCCCGGGGAAACCCGGGACAAUACCGCAUGAUGUCUCUCGGGCGUCGGCCUGGGAGAGCAAAGCCGGGGACCGCAAGGCCUGGCGCAUCCGGAGGGGACCGCGGCCGAUUAGCUAGUUGGCGGGGUAAUGGCCCACCAAGGCGUCGAUCGGUAGCCGGCCUGAGAGGGUGAUCGGCCACACCGGAACUGAGACACGGUCCGGACUCCUACGGGAGGCAGCAGUGGGGAAUUUUGCGCAAUGGGCGAAAGCCUGACGCAGCAACGCCGCGUGGAGGAUGAAGGUGCUCUGCAUUGUAAACUCCUGUCGGCCGGGAAGAAUCGGCGGGGUGCUAAUCAGCCCCGUCUUGACUGUACCGGCAAAGGAAGCCCCGGCUAACUCCGUGCCAGCAGCCGCGGUAA